CCAGGAUGUUGGCUUAGAAGCAGCCAUCAUUUAAAGAAAGCGUAAUAGCUCACUGGUCGAGUCGGCCUGCGCGGAAGAUGUAACGGGGCUAAACCAUGCACCGAAGCUGCGGCAGCGAACGUAUCACUUAAAGCGAUUCAGCGGGUUACGAUUGACGGAGCGAAGCGACGUCAAAGCGUAUACAAAGUCGAGUCGGUUUAAGGAUACGUUCGUUGGGUAGGGGAGCGUUCUGUAAGCCUG
rnacentral:rRNA from 1 species